rnacentral:rRNA from 1 species
UACGUAGGGUGCAAGCGUUGUCCGGAAUUAUUGGGCGUAAAGAGCUCGUAGGCGGUUUGUCGCGUCGAAUGUGAAAACCCGGGGCUUAACCCCUGGCUUGCAGUGGAUACGGACAGACUAGAGGUAGGUAGGGGAGAAUGGAAUUCCCGGUGUAGCGGUGAAAUGCGCAGAUAUCGGGAGGAACACCGGUGGCGAAGGCGGCAUCCUGGACCAAUUCUGACGCUGAGUGAGCGAAAGCCAGGGGAGCAAACGGG